rnacentral:tRNA from 1 species
AGAAAGAUAAGCUAAGAAAGCUAUUAGGUUCAUACCCUAAAUAUAGAAAUUAAUAUUCUUCUUUCUA